rnacentral:rRNA from 1 species
UACGGAGGGGGUUAGCGUUGUUCGGAAUUACUGGGCGUAAAGCGCGCGUAGGCGGACCAGAAAGUUGGGGGUGAAAUCCCGGGGCUCAACCCCGGAACGGCCUCCGAAACUCCUGGUCUUGAGUUCGAGAGAGGUGAGUGGAAUUCCGAGUGUAGAGGUGAAAUUCGUAGAUAUUCGGAGGAACACCAGUGGCGAAGGCGGCUCACUGGCUCGAUACUGACGCUGAGGUGCGAAAGUGUGGGGAGCAAACAGG